rnacentral:rRNA from 1 species
UACGGAGGGAGCUAGCGUUAUUCGGAAUUACUGGGCGUAAAGCGCACGUAGGCGGUGGCGCAUGUCAGAUGUGAAAGCCCUGGGCUUAACCUAGGAAUUGCAUUUGAAACUGCGCCGCUAGAGGCCGGAAGAGGGUAGUGGAAUUCCCAGUGUAGAGGUGAAAUUCGUAGAUAUUGGGAAGAACACCGGUGGCGAAGGCGGCUACCUGGUCCGGUUCUGACGCUGAGGUGCGAAAGCGUGGGGAGCAAACAGG